CAAGUCGAACGAUUAAACUUUCCUUCGGGAAAGAUAUAAAGUGGCGCACGGGUGAGUAACACGUAAGUAAUCUACCUUCGAGUGGGGAAUAACACCGAGAAAUCGGUGCUAAUACCGCGUAACGCAGCGGCACCUAAUGGUGACAGUUGUUAAAGGAGCAAUUCGCUUGAAGAGGAGCUUGCGGCAGAUUAGCUAGUUGGUAAGGUAAUGGCUUACCAAGGCUUCGAUCUGUAUCCGGUCUAAGAGGACGGUCGGACACACUGACACUGAAUAACGGGUCAGACUCCUACGGGAGGCAGCAGUCGGGAAUUUUGGGCAAUGGGCGAAAGCCUGACCCAGCAACGCCGCGUGAAGGAUGAAGUAUUUCGGUAUGUAAACUUCGAAAGAAUGGGAAGAACUCAAUGACGGUACCAUUUAUAAGCUCCGGCUAACUACGUGCCAGCAGCCGCGGUAAUACGUAGGGAGCAAGCGUUGUUCGGAUUUACUGGGCGUAAAGGGCGCGUAGGCGGCAUGUUAAGUCAGCUGUGAAAUCUCCGAGCUUAACUCGGAACUGUCAGCUGAUACUGAUGUGCUUGAGUGCGGAAGGGGCAAUCGGAAUUCUUGGUGUAGCGGUGAAAUGCGUAGAUAUCAAGAGGAACACCUGAGGUGAAGACGGGUUGCUGGGCCGACACUGACGCUGAGUGCGCGAAAGCCAGGGGAGCAAACGGGAUUAGAUACCCCGGUAGUCCUGGCCUUAAACGAUGAAUACUUGGUGUCUGGAGUCUCUAUAGCUCCGGGUGCCGUCGCUAACGUUUUUAGUAUUCCGCCUGGGGAGUACGCACGCAAGUGUGAAACUCAAAGGAAUUGACGGGGACCCGCACAAGCGGUGGA
rnacentral:rRNA from 1 species